UUUUUUUUUUUUUUUUUUUUUUUUUUUUUUUUUUUUUCGA
rnacentral:ribozyme from 1 species